CUGCGGUGCAUUAGCUAGUUGGUAAGGUAACGGCUUACCAAGGCAAUGAUGCAUAGCCGAGUUGAGAGACUGAUCGGCCACAUUGGGACUGAGACACGGCCCAAACUCCUACGGGAGGCAGCAGUAGGGAAUCUUCCACAAUGGACGAAAGUCUGAUGGAGCAACGCCGCGUGAGUGAAGAAGGGUUUCGGCUCGUAAAGCUCUGUUGGUAGUGAAGAAAGAUAGAGGUAGUAACUGGCCUUUAUUUGACGGUAAUUACUUAGAAAGUCACGGCUAACUACGUGCCAGCAGCCGCGGUAAUACGUAGGUGGCAAGCGUUGUCCGGAUUUAUUGGGCGUAAAGCGAGUGCAGGCGGUUCAAUAAGUCUGAUGUGAAAGCCUUCGGCUCAACCGGAGAAUUGCAUCAGAAACUGUUGAACUUGAGUGCAGAAGAGGAGAGUGGAACUCCAUGUGUAGCGGUGGAAUGCGUAGAUAUAUGGAAGAACACCAGUGGCGAAGGCGGCUCUCUGGUCUGCAACUGACGCUGAGGCUCGAAAGCAUGGGUAGCGAACAGGAUUAGAUACCCUGGUAGUCCAUGCCGUAAACGAUGAGUGCUAAGUGUUGGGAGGUUUCCGCCUCUCAGUGCUGCAGCUAACGCA
rnacentral:rRNA from 1 species